GGGAUAAUAGUUAAUUAUAACAUUUGAUUUGCAUUCAAAAAGUACUGUAUAAUACAGUUUAUCUU
rnacentral:tRNA from 1 species